rnacentral:tRNA from 1 species
GGAGGGGAUAGCUCAGUGGUAGAGUGCGUGCUUAGCAUGCACGAGGUCCUGGGUUCAAUUCCCAGUCCCUCCA